AGAGUUUGAUCCUGGCUCAGGAUGAACGCUAGCGACAGGCUUAACACAUGCAAGUCGAGGGGCAGCAGGGGGAGUAGCAAUACUCCCGCUGGCGACCGGCGCACGGGUGAGUAACACGUAUGCAACCUGCCCUUGUCAGGGGGAUAAGCGGGAGAAAUUCCGUCUAAUACCGCAUAAUACCUUAUGGGGACAUCCUCAUGAGGUCAAAGAUUUAUCGGACAAGGAUGGGCAUGCGUCGCAUUAGUUAGUUGGCGGUGUAACGGACCACCAAGACGACGAUGCGUAGGGGUACUGAGAGGAAGGUCCCCCACACUGGUACUGAGACACGGACCAGACUCCUACGGGAGGCAGCAGUGAGGAAUAUUGGUCAAUGGGCGGGAGCCUGAACCAGCCAAGUCGCGUGAGGGAAGACGGUCCUAAGGAUUGUAAACCUCUUUUGUCAGGGAGCAAGGACUGCCACGAGUGGCAGGGCGAGAGUACCUGAAGAAAAAGCAUCGGCUAACUCCGUGCCAGCAGCCGCGGUAAUACGGAGGAUGCGAGCGUUAUCCGGAUUUAUUGGGUUUAAAGGGUGCGCAGGCGGACCGGAAAGUCAGCGGUAAAAUCGAGGAGCUCAACUCCUUCCAGCCGUUGAAACUGUCGGUCUAGAGUGGGCGAGAAGUAUGCGGAAUGCGUGGUGUAGCGGUGAAAUGCAUAGAUAUCACGCAGAACUCCGAUUGCGAAGGCAGCAUACCGGCGCCCAACUGACGCUCAGGCACGAAAGCGUGGGUAUCGAACAGGAUUAGAUACCCUGGUAGUCCACGCAGUAAACGAUGAAUACUAAUUGUUCGGCGCGAAUGAGCGCUGAGUGAUACAGCGAAAGCGUUAAGUAUUCCACCUGGGGAGUACGCCGGCAACGGUGAAACUCAAAGGAAUUGACGGGGGCCCGCACAAGCGGAGGAACAUGUGGUUUAAUUCGAAGCAACGCGAAGAACCUUACCUGGCCUUGACAUCCCGGUGACAGCGGAGCAAUGUCCGUUUUCCUUCGGGACACUGGAGACAGGUGGUGCAUGGUUGUCGUCAGCUCGUGUCGUGAGAUGUUGGGUUAAGUCCCGCAACGAGCGCAACCCUUAUCCCCAGUAGCCAGCAGGUAAAGCUGGGCUCUGUGGAGACUGCCAGGGACAACCUGGAGGAAGGCGGGGAUGACGUCAAAUCAUCAUGCCCCUUAUGGCUUGGGCUACACACGUGCUACAAUGUGCAAACAAAGGGAAGCGAGAUGGUGACAUGAAGCAAACCCCAAAAAAAGCACCUCAGUUCGGAUUGUAGUCUGCAACUCGACUACAUGAAGCUGGAAUCGCUAGUAAUCGCGAAUCAGAAUGUCGCGGUGAAUACGUUCCCGGGUCUUGCACACACCGCCCGUCAAG
rnacentral:rRNA from 1 species